UACAGAGGGGGCAAGCGUUGUUCGGAAUUACUGGGCGUAAAGCGUGCGCAGGCGGUGAUGUAAGACAGUUGUGAAAUCCCCGGGCUCAACCUGGGAACUGCAUCUGUGACUGCAUUGCUGGAGUGCGGCAGAGGGGGAUGGAAUUCCGCGUGUAGCAGUGAAAUGCGUAGAUAUGCGGAGGAACACCGAUGGCGAAGGCAAUCCCCUGGGCCUGCACUGACGCUCAUGCACGAAAGCGUGGGGAGCGAACAGG
rnacentral:rRNA from 1 species